CGCGUAGGCGGCUGGCUCAGUCGGGCCUGUAAGUGCGGGGCUCAACCCCGUGAUGGGCUCGGGACGGGUUGGCUGGGGCGCGGUCGAGGGAGACGGAAUGCCGGGUGUAGUGGUGAAAUGCGUAGAGAUCCGGCGGAACACCGGUGGUGAAGGCGGUCUCCUGGGCCGAGGGCCGACGCUGAGGCGCGAGAGCGUGGGGAGCGAACCGGAUUAGAAACCCUGGUAGUCCAGGCAUUGACGUUGAAACUCCUACGGGAGGCAGCAGUGGGGAAUUUUGGACAAUGGGCGAAAGCCUGAUCCAGCCAUGCCGCGUGCGGGAAGAAGGCCUUCGGGUUGUAAACCGCUUUUGUCAGGGAAGAAAUCUUCCGAGCUAAUACCUUGGGAGGAUGACGGUACCUGAAGAAUAAGCACCGGCUAACUACGUGCCAGCAGCCGCGGUAAUACGUAGGGUGCAAGCGUUAAUCGGAAUUACUGGGCGUAAAGCGUGCGCAGGCGGUUUUGUAAGUCUGACGUGAAAUCCCCGGGCUCCACCUGGGAAUUGCGUUGGAGACUGCAAGGCUAGAAUCUGGCAGAGGGGGGUAGAAUUCCACGUGUAGCAGUGAAAUGCGUAGAGAUGUGGAGGAACACCGAUGGCGAAGGCAGCCCCCUGGGUCAAGAUUGACGCUCAUGCACGAAAGCGUGGGGAGCAAACAGGAUUAGAAACCCCAGUAGUCCAGGCGUGCUUCCAGUGCCAGCAGCUGCGGUAAUACGGAGGGUGCAAGCGUUAUCCGGAAUCAUUGGGUUUAAAGGGUCCGUAGGCGGGCUAUUAAGUCAGAGGUGAAAUCCCACAGCUUAACUGUGGAACUGCCUUUGAUACUGGUAGUCUUGAGUUAUAUGGAAGUAGAUAGAAUGUGUAGUGUAGCGGUGAAAUGCUUAGAGAUUACACAGAAUACCGAUUGCGAAGGCAGUCUACUACGUAUAUACUGACGCUAAUGGACGAAAGCGUGGGGAGCGAACAGGAUUAGAUACCCUGGUAGUCCACGCCGUAAACGAUGGACACUAGUUGUUGGGAUUUAUCUCAGUGACUAA
rnacentral:rRNA from 1 species